GAUGAACGCUAGCGACAGGCUUAACACAUGCAAGUCGAGGGGCAGCGGGGGAGUAGCAAUACUCCCGCCGGCGACCGGCGCACGGGUGAGUAACACGUAUGAAACCUGCCCGUAGCAGGGGGAUAAGCGGAAGAAAUUCCGUCUAAUACCGCGUAACAACCCUUGGAGGCAUCUCCCCGGGGUUUAAAGGAAGCGAUUCCGGCUACGGAUGGUCAUGCGUCGCAUUAGCUAGUUGGCGGGGUAACGGCCCACCAAGGCGACGAUGCGUAGGGGUUCUGAGAGGAAGGUCCCCCACACUGGUACUGAGACACGGACCAG
rnacentral:rRNA from 1 species